CCUACGGGGGGCAGCAGUGGGGGAUAUUGCACAAUGGGGGGAACCCUGAUGCAGCGACGCCGCGUGGGUGAAGGAGCGUUUCGGCGCGUAAAGCCCUAUCGGCAGGGAAGAAGAUGACGGUACCUGACCAAGAAGCCCCGGCUAACUACGUGCCAGCAGCCGCGGUAAUACGUAGGGGGCAAGCGUUAUCCGGAUUUACUGGGUGUAAAGGGUGCGUAGGUGGUUUGGCAAGUUGGUAGCGUAAUCCCGGGGCUCAACCUCGGUGCUACUACCCAAACUGUUGAACUUGAGUGCAGGAGGGGUGAAUGGAAUUCCCAGUGUAGCGGUGGAAUGCGUAGAUAUUGGGAAGAACACCAGCGGCGAAGGCGAUUCACUGGACUGUAACUGACACUGAGGCACGAAAGCGUGGGGAGCAAACAGGAUUAGAUACCCGAGUAGUC
rnacentral:rRNA from 1 species